rnacentral:rRNA from 1 species
UACGUAGGGACCAAGCGUUGUUCGGAUUUACUGGGCGUAAAGGGCGCGUAGGCGGCGUGGUAAGUCACUUGUGAAAUCUCUGAGCUUAACUCAGAACGGCCAAGUGAUACUGCUGUGCUAGAGUGCAGAAGGGGCAAUCGGAAUUCUUGGUGUAGCGGUGAAAUGCGUAGAUAUCGAGAGGAACACCUGCGGCGAAGGCGGGUUGCUGGGCUGAUACUGACGCUGAGGCGCGAAAGCCAGGGGAGCGAACGGGG